rnacentral:rRNA from 1 species
GUGCCAGCAGCCGCGGUAAUACGUAGGUGGCGAGCGUUGUCCGGAAUUAUUGGGCGUAAAGGGCGCGUAGGUGGAAUCAUCAGUCUGUUGUAAAAGUGCGGGGCUCAACCCCGUGAAGCGACGGAAACAGCGAUUCUUGAGUGCAGGAGAGGAAAGCGGAAUUCCCAGUGUAGCGGUGAAAUGCGUAGAUAUUGGGAGGAACACCAGUGGCGAAGGCGGCUUUCUGGACUGUGUCUGACACUGAGGCGCGAAAGCUAGGGGAGCGAACGGGAUUAGAUACCCCCGUAGUCC